GGUCAACAAUUUCCUUUCAUACAAAGGAAAUACCAAAAAUAUCAAAUGAGGCGGAAUCAAGAUUUUAGAGGAAAUGGAAAGACAAGUAGUAUAAGUAACAUGGGCCACUUCAAACGACUUUGAAAUGUAUGUACACGAUGUACUGGAUCCUUCUGAACCUGUGGUUGCUCCUUAUUGAAGAUGCUCAAGGUUCCUGCGUUCCUGACAUUGUUCUCACUAGUCCAGUGCCAAAAACAUUGUGCAAGGGGGACAACUUUAUUCUUUCAUGUCAAUUCAUCUGUCUGUCGGAGUCUCACAAGAUUCAGCUGUGGAGAAAUGAAAUUGUUUUACUAGAAGAGAGUACAACAUCGCCUAACAGCACCAUUGUCCUACUUUUUAAUGGAGCAACAUAUUUAAACAAUGGGAAUUAUGAGUGCAAAACAAAUCCAUUAGAUGCCAUGAGUCCACCUCUUCUUAUCCACAUUGAUGAUAAAUGUGAGCAAAAACCAGAGAAGGAGGAGAGAGAGCUACAUUAUGUGCUGAUGCUGUACUUACUAUGUAAAGCUAUUGCCUUCCUGUUAUUAUUUAAUGCACCUAUUCUCCUAGGCUGUAACACAAUUUAAUGCCACCAUACACAUGCAUUUAACUAUUUCCACAAUGCUUUUCUGUUUUAUUGUCAUAAAAUGCACGACAAUUGCUUUUAUGGGUUUAACAAUAAUAAUUAAUUAUAUGAAUGAAAAUUAAUUUUAAAAAUAAUGAAUAACAAUUAGAAUUCAUGCAGAGUUCUGCACAAUUUGUAACAAUGUAAAAGGGCAUUUUAUUAUACACUGUUAGUCAGUGUAA
rnacentral:lncRNA from 1 species